UAGGGAAUCUUCCACAAUGGACGCAAGUCUGAUGGAGCAACGCCGCGUGAGUGAAGAAGGUUUUCGGAUCGUAAAGCUCUGUUGUUGGUGAAGAAGGAUAGAGGUAGUAACUGGCCUUUAUUUGACGGUAAUCAACCAGAAAGUCACGGCUAACUACGUGCCAGCAGCCGCGGUAAUACGUAGGUGGCAAGCGUUGUCCGGAUUUAUUGGGCGUAAAGCGAGCGCAGGCGGAAGAAUAAGUCUGAUGUGAAAGCCCUCGGCUUAACCGAGGAACUGCAUCGGAAACUGUUUUUCUUGAGUGCAGAAGAGGAGAGUGGAAUUCCAUGUGUAGCGGUGGAAUGCGUAGAUAUAUGGAAGAACACCAGGGGCGAAGGCGACUCUCUGGUCUGCAACUGACGCUGAGGCUCGAAAGCAUGGGUAGCGAACAGG
rnacentral:rRNA from 1 species